UACGUAGGGCGCAAGCGUUAUCCGGAAUUAUUGGGCGUAAAGAGCUCGUAGGCGGUUUGUCGCGUCUGCCGUGAAAGUCCGGGGCUCAACUCCGGAUCUGCGGUGGGUACGGGCAGACUAGAGUGAUGUAGGGGAGACUGGAAUUCCUGGUGUAGCGGUGAAAUGCGCAGAUAUCGGGAGGAACACCAAUGGCGAAAGCGCUCAUCUGGCCCAAUACUGACGCUGAGGCGCGAAAGCUAGGGGAGCAAACGGG
rnacentral:rRNA from 1 species